UGCACUUGUUUAUGUUUUUGUUUAACUUGUGGACAAAGACUUAUAGACACGUGCAAAAAAUAAAUCCUCUUUUGCAACCCAGAACUCAUUGUUUAGCAGGAGUUUUGAUAUGUAUAAGGAGGAAUAAU
rnacentral:snoRNA from 13 species